rnacentral:lncRNA from 1 species
UAGGGGACUAGUUUUAGACCCAAGAUUUGAGGCUUUGUGUGGAGGAAGGCUGUUACAAGAGCUGGAAAUUUCAUUCCUUUCUGCCAAAAUUUUCUUCCUAAUUGAAGCUUUGGAAGAUGCAGAUAUGGUGGGUGACAUGAAAUUCUUGGUCAUGGGUUUCUGCUUUUGUGGCUUCUCAUUUUCAUUCGUUUCUCUUGAACCUGCUAGUAGAAAAAAGAAUCGCUAUCAACAAUAUAUGAUGAAUACACAGCUAAUAUAAAUUCUUGUAUUACAAUAGUUUCUUUCAAUAAUCAUAUCUUAUUCUUUCACAGUGAAUACAAGAUAUUAUGGGGGCUAAGCCUUUCCAAAUAUGAUAAUAAGUUUGACAAAGGCAUCAAACAACAACAAGAACAAUAAUAUUCCCAAUGUUAUCCGAUUGGGGUCUAAGGAGUGUAUAGUAUGCACAGACCUUAGCUCUACAUCGUGGAGGUAGAAAGCACAUCAACAACAACAACAUACCAAGUCAAAUCCCAUGAGUGAGGUCAGAGGAGGGUAAAGUGUACACAGAUCUUACCACUAAAAACCUUACCACAAAGUGUGGGCUUAGGGAGGGUUGUUUCUGAAAGACCCUCGGGCUCAAGUGCAGCAAAUCCAGAUACAUACAUACUAUACAUGACCCUCGGAAGGAAACAAUGAGGAAAAUAUAGCAACAAACAAGGAGCAGUGCAAAGUCUAGGAAA